rnacentral:rRNA from 1 species
UGGGGAAUUUUGGACAAUGGGCGCAAGCCUGAUCCAGCCAUGCCGCGUGCAGGAUGAAGGCCUUCGGGUUGUAAACUGCUUUUGUACGGAACGAAAAGACUCCUCCUAAUAAAGGGGGUCCAUGACGGUACCGUAAGAAUAAGCACCGGCUAACUACGUGCCAGCAGCCGCGGUAAUACGUAGGGUGCAAGCGUUAAUCGGAAUUACUGGGCGUAAAGCGUGCGCAGGCGGUUAUGCAAGACAGAGGUGAAAUCCCCGGGCUCAACCUGGGAACUGCCUUUUGGACUGCAUAGCUAGAGUACGGUAGAGGGGGAUGGAAUUCCGGGUGUAGCAGUGAAAUGCGUAGAUAUGCGGAGGAACACCGAUGGCGAAGGCAAUCCCCUGGACCUGUACUGACGCUCAUGCACGAAAGCGUGGGAGCAAACA